rnacentral:rRNA from 1 species
GAUGAACGCUGGCGGCGUGCUUAACACAUGCAAGUCGAACGUUAGGGUGCAGCAAUGUACCCGAAAGUGGCAAACGGGUGAGUAACACGUAGAUAACCUGCCUCGCAGUGGGGGAUAACCACGGGAAACUGUGGCUAAUACCGCAUGGUCUUAGUGGAAUGGGAAUCCGCUAAGUAAAGCUUUAGUGCUGUGAGAGGGGUCUGCGUCCGAUUAGCUAGUUGGUGAGGUAACGGCUCACCAAGGCUGUGAUCGGUAGCUGGUCUGAGAGGACGAUCAGCCACACGGGAACUGCGACACGGGUCCCCGACUCCGUACGGGGGGCAGCAGUGAGGAAUAUUGGGCAAUGGGCGCAAGCCUGACCCAGC